rnacentral:rRNA from 1 species
CCUACGGGGGGCAGCAGUGGGGAAUAUUGCACAAUGGGGGAAACCCUGAUGCAGCGACGCCGCGUGAGUGAAGAAGUAUCUCAGUAUGGAAAGCUCCUUCAGCAGGGAAGAAAAUGACGGUACUUGUUUAAGAAGCCGCGGCUAACUACGAGACAGCAGCCGCGGCAACACGUAGGGGGCAAGCGUUAUCCGGAUUUACUGGGGGUAAAGGGGGCGUAGACGGCAGCACAAGUCUGGAGUGAAAUGCCGGGGCUUAACCCCGGAACUGCUUUGGAAACUGUGCAGCUAGAGUGCAGGAGAGGUAAGUGGAAUUCCUAGUGUAGCGGUGAAAUGCGUAGAUAUUGGGAGGAACCCCAGUGGCGAAGGCGGCUUACUGGACUGUAACUGACGUUGAGGCUCGAAAGCGUGGGGAGCGAACAGGAUUAGAUACCCUAGUAGUC